UACAGAGGGUGCGAGCGUUAAUCGGAAUUACUGGGCGUAAAGCGUGCGUAGACGGUUAUUUAAGUCGGAUGUGAAAGCCCCGGGCUCAACCUGGGAAUUGCAUUCGAGACUGAAUAGCUAGGGUACGGUAGAGGGAAGCGGAAUUUCCGGUGUAGCGGUGAAAUGCGUAGAUAUCGGAAGGAACAUCAGUGGCGAAAGCGGCUUCCUGGACCAGUACCGACGUUCAGCCACGAAAGCGUGGGGAGCAAACAGG
rnacentral:rRNA from 1 species